rnacentral:rRNA from 2 species
AUUGAACGCUGGCGGCAGGCUUAACACAUGCAAGUCGAGCGGGGGAAGGUAGCUUGCUACCGGACCUAGCGGCGGACGGGUGAGUAAUGCUUAGGAAUCUGCCUAUUAGUGGGGGACAACAUCUCGAAAGGGAUGCUAAUACCGCAUACGUCCUACGGGAGAAAGCAGGGGAUCUUCGGACCUUGCGCUAAUAGAUGAGCCUAAGUCGGAUUAGCUAGUUGGUGGGGUAAAGGCCUACCAAGGCGACGAUCUGUAGCGGGUCUGAGAGGAUGAUCCGCCACACUGGGACUGAGACACGGCCCAGACUCCUACGGGAGGCAGCAGUGGGGAAUAUUGGACAAUGGGGGGAACCCUGAUCCAGCCAUGCCGCGUGUGUGAAGAAGGCCUUAUGGUUGUAAAGCACUUUAAGCGAGGAGGAGGCUACUUUAGUUAAUACCUAGAGAUAGUGGACGUUACUCGCAGAAUAAGCACCGGCUAACUCUGUGCCAGCAGCCGCGGUAAUACAGAGGGUGCGAGCGUUAAUCGGAUUUACUGGGCGUAAAGCGUGCGUAGGCGGCUUAUUAAGUCGGAUGUGAAAUCCCCGAGCUUAACUUGGGAAUUGCAUUCGAUACUGGUGAGCUAGAGUAUGGGAGAGGAUGGUAGAAUUCCAGGUGUAGCGGUGAAAUGCGUAGAGAUCUGGAGGAAUACCGAUGGCGAAAGCAGCCAUCUGGCCUAAUACUGACGCUGAGUACGAAAGCAUGGGGAGCAA